rnacentral:rRNA from 1 species
UACGUAGGGUGCAAGCGUUAUCCGGAAUUAUUGGGCGUAAAGAGCUCGUAGGCGGUUUGUCGCGUCUGCUGUGAAACCCCGAGGCUCAACCUCGGGCCUGCAGUGGGUACGGGCAGGCUAGAGUGCGGUAGGGGAGAUUGGAAUUCCUGGUGUAGCGGUGGAAUGCGCAGAUAUCAGGAGGAACACCAAUGGCGAAGGCAGAUCUCUGGGCCGUAACUGACGCUGAGGAGCGAAAGCGUGGGGAGCAAACAGG